GGAUUGUGACUCAGUGGUACAGUACUUGCCUACCACGUGUGAGGCCCUGGGUUCAAACCUCAGCACCA
rnacentral:tRNA from 1 species